rnacentral:rRNA from 1 species
CCUACGGGGGGCUGCAGUGGGGAAUAUUGCACAAUGGGCGCAAGCCUGAUGCAGCCAUGCCGCGUGUGUGAAGAAGGCCUUCGGGUUGUAAAGCACUUUCAGCGGGGAGGAAGGCGUUAAGGUUAAUAACCUUGUCGAUUGACGUUACCCGCAGAAGAAGCACCGGCUAACUCCGUGCCAGCAGCCGCGGUAAUACGGAGGGUGCAAGCGUUAAUCGGAAUUACUGGGCGUAAAGCGCACGCAGGCGGUCUGUCAAGUCGGAUGUGAAAUCCCCGGGCUCAACCUGGGAACUGCAUUCGAAACUGGCAGGCUAGAGUCUUGUAGAGGGGGGUAGAAUUCCGGGUGUAGCGGUGAAAUGCGUAGAGAUCUGGAGGAAUACCGGUGGCGAAGGCGGCCCCCUGGACAAAGACUGACGCUCAGGUGCGAAAGCGUGGGGAGCAAACAGGAUUAGAUACCCGGGUAGUC